GCUUAACACAUGCAAGUCGAGCGAGAAUCGUUUAUUGAAGGCUUCGGCUGGAAAUAGAUGAGGAAAGCGGCGAACGGGUGAGUAACGCGUGGGCAACCUGGCCUUAAGAAAAGGAUAGCCCCCGGAAACGGGGAGUAAUCCUUUAUGAGAAUGAAAGAGGGCAUCCUACUUUCAUUCAAAGCGCAAGCGCUUAAGGAUGGGCCCGCGUAUCAUUAGCUAGUUGGUGAGAUAACAGCCCACCAAGGCAACGAUGAUUAGCCGGUCUGAGAGGGCGAACGGCCACAUUGGAACUGAGAGACGGUCCAAACUCCUACGGGAGGCAGCAGUGGGGAAUAUUGCGCAAUGGAGAAGAACUCUGACGCAGCAAUACCGCGUGGGCGAAGAAGGUCUUCGGAUCGUAAAGCUCUGUUAUCAGAGAAGAAGAAAAUGACGGUACCUGAUGAGCAAGUCCCGGCUAACUACGUGCCAGCCGCCGCCGUAACAC
rnacentral:rRNA from 1 species